rnacentral:misc_RNA from 1 species
GGAGUAAAAGUCGUAACAAGGUUUCCGUAGGUGAACCUGCGGAAGGAUCAUUAUUGUAUAACCGAGGUGCGAGGGCUGUCGCUGACCCGAAAGGUCGUGCACGCCCGAGUGCCCUCACACACAUCCAUCUCACCCCUAUGUGCACCACCGCGUGGGUCCCCCUUUGGCUUGUUCGGAGGGGGGCUUACGUUUUCACACAAACUUUGUAUGCAGUGUAGAAUGUAUUUUUUGUUUUUGCGAUCACGCAAUCAAUACAACUUUCAACAACGGAUCUCUUGGCUCUCGCAUCGAUGAAGAACGCAGU